rnacentral:rRNA from 1 species
GUAGAUGCGAGAGUAGAGCAUAUCAAUAAGCGGAGGAAAAGAAACUAACAAGGAUUCCCUUAGUAACGGCGAGUGAAGCGGGAAGAGCUCAAAUUUGAAAUCUUCAAGGUUCUACCUUGACGAAUUGUAGUUUAAAGAAGUGUUUUCUGUUAGAUGAGUAGCAAAAGUUCCUUGGAAUGGGACAUCAUAGAGGGUGAGAAUCCCGUAUUUGGUUAUUCAUUCUAGCUUUGUGAUACACUUUCAAAGAGUCGGAUUGUUUGGGAAUGCAGUCCAAAAUGGGUGGUAAAUUUCAUCUAAAGCUAAAUAUUGGCGAGAGACCGAUAGCGAACAAGUACCGUGAGGGAAAGAUGAAAAGAACUUUGAAAAGAGAGUUAAACAGUACGUGAAAUUGUCAAAAGGGAAGCGUUUGACACCAGUGUUGUUUUUCCGAAGAUCAAUUACGAAUGGCUUGAUUUUGUGUUGUAUUGACCUUAUCAGCUUUCUUCACUUUUUUCGAGUCUUUCUUAAUGCACUUUUCGGUUAACAAGUCAACAUCAAUUUCUUUUGUUGUAAAAGAGUAUUCGGAAGGUGGCUUUCUUUUCGGAGAAAGUGUUUAUAGCCCUAUACUUCUACAAUCGGAGAGAUUGAGGUCUGCAGCGUAGAUCCUUCGGGGUUAGAUACAUUUGUGCUAAGUUGUAGCUUUUCAUAGACAACUUGUUGACUAUGUUUAGUCAUGCGGCUUACUCGCUUAUGCUAUUUUACCUACGCUUAGGAUGUUGAGCGCAUGUCUCUCUCU